CUACGGGCGGCACCAGUGGGGAAUUUUGCGCAAUGGGGGCAACCCUGACGCAGCAAUACCGCGUGAGUGAAGAAGGCCUUUGGGUCGUAAAGCUCUUUUCUAAGGGAAGAUAGUGACGGUACCUUAGGAAUAAGCACCGGCUAACUCCGUGCCAGCAGCCGCGGUAAUACGGAGGGUGCGAGCGUUGUUCGGAUUUACUGGGCGUAAAGGGCACGUAGGCGGCCUAGCAAGUUAAGGGUGAAAUCCCGGGGCUCAACUCCGGAACUGCUCUUAAAACUGCUAAGCUAGAGAUAGUCAGAGGCGGGUGGAAUUCCAGGUGUAGAGGUGAAAUUCGUAGAUAUCUGGAGGAACACCGGUGGCGAAGGCGGCCCGCUGGGGCUAUUCUGACGCUGAGGUGCGAAAGCGUGGGGAGCGAACGGGAUUAGAUACCCUCGUAGUC
rnacentral:rRNA from 1 species